rnacentral:rRNA from 1 species
CUGGGGCUGAAGUAGGUCCCAAGGGUAUGGCUGUUCGCCAUUUAAAGUGGUACGCGAGCUGGGUUUAGAACGUCGUGAGACAGUUCGGUCCCUAUCUGCCGUGGGCGCUGGAGAAUUGAGGGGGGCUGCUCCUAGUACGAGAGGACCGGAGUGGACGCAUCACUGGUGUUCGGGUUGUCAUGCCAAUGGCACUGCCCGGUAGCUAAAUGCGGAAGAGAUAAGUGCUGAAAG